AUCUGUCCACUCCAUGGAGGAAGUCCGUGGAAGAGGCAUCUGUGUAAAUUACCUGUUGUAGGUGAAUUACCGCCCAUACGUCGUGCCAAAAGCUCUAAGGAUACGUGAACAGAGCACUAACAAACACAGAAGGGGGAGCAACUACCUGCCAGCAGGCAGCAGAGGUGCCCUGGGGGAAGGAGCAUGGAGCCAGAUUAAGUUGCCCUUUAGGUAAAAUAUGUUCCUUAGAGAUAAUAAUAAAAUGAUGGCAGCUAAUGCCUAUGUAAUUCUUUCACUAAUGCACAAGAUUCUUAAGUGUUUUACAUAUAUUAUCUCAUUUAAUCCUCUUAGUGUCCAUGUGAAGCAGUACAAUUAUCCCCAUUUUACAGAGAAAGGAACGGACCCAAAGGGAGGUUAAGUGGCUUGCUCGGGGUGGCACAACUCCUAAAUGUCCGUCCUGGGAUGUCAUGCAUGCUUGCUGUGAGGACAUGAAGGCUGAUCCUGCUUCGUCACUGGGCAUCCACUGUGCUCCACUCCACUUUCAUAAUGUGUGAAAGCAUGUGAGUCAGCCCUGACAGGUUCUGUAAAGAGCUGGUUUCACCCUGUUACCCCUGUUGCCUUAUUGGUAAGAUGUCAGCUGUAACAGCAUCCACCAACCUUACCGGGCGAUUAUGAGAGUUAAAUGAGAUAAUUCAGGUACAGUGUUCACCAUAUUGCUUAGCAUAUGGAAAGCAGUGAGCAAAUGUGUGCCAUAACUAGUGUUAUAAUAUAUUUAGCCACACGGAAAUGAGGUCUGGGGUCCCCUGUGACCGGCCUGAGUCCUUCUUCUUCUGGAAGCCUCUGUGGUGGCACAGCUACCUCCAAAAGGAGCGAGUUCCCGGCCGUUGAAAUGGCCCACGACCCAGGUUGCUAGCGUCGUCCCUCAGCUGCCUCUCCAACUGCCAUGGCUGCCUUAGGAAUUUAAAAAUUACUCUUCCCGUUUUAUAUUUCAGCUCAGAAAUCGAUGCAUCUGUGAGGCAGUUUGUUUUCCCGGGGAAGUGUCAGGAGCCCCGCUGGUGGUUUGGAGACGCGCUCCGUUUAGACUCAAUAUUGCCACCCACUCCCUGCGCCGCGGCAGAGAGCAGCCUCAGACGGCUGUGUUCCUUCCCCUCCCACACCGGGGGCUGCAGCCCGGCCGGGCCCCCAGGACUCUGCUCAUCUGCCGGAGGCGGACGUGCUGACUGCCUGCAGCUUGCUUCUGUUUCUUCCUCCCAGGGCGCACAUUUUAGAAAAGCCCCUAAUGUGUCCUUGCCUCCAGGACCUCGGAACUGCACAGAUGCCCCUGUUUCACGCAGCUGUGUUCUGUACCUGCUAAAAACCAGGGCAAGCCUCAUCAUCCCGCAGUUCCCCUUGUCCCCUUGUCGCAGUGGGUCUCCGGGGGAGUGGACCUGCCCUUCUGUGACGGGGGUGAGGCUGUCCUCCUGGGAGGCGGUCCCGCAGUCUCUCUCUCUCUCUGCUUUCCUGGCGGAGGUGGCCUCUGUAUUCCAGAGGUGGUGGGCCUGGCCUGGCACGUUGUUCAACUGGGACAGAGUUGGCUUAUCCUGAAAGUCUUCUUACAGAGCCAUCUUUAGAUUUCAAGAAGGAAGAAUACAGUCCCCCAAAGCACCAAGAGUUACAACAUAUAAAUAGCUUUGCUGAGGGGAACAAAAGUGCCUAUUGUGCGCUGGACUGCAAGGAGAGAUGUAUACUGGGAACUAAGAACAAGAUGCUAGAGAUUUCUUUUCUUUUCUUUCUUUUUUAUCUUAGCUUGAAAAAUUUGUUUUUUCCCCAUAUGAAUUGUGCAUUCACUCUUGGGUCUUGAAACAGAAUAAUUUAGUAAUGUGGGUUCGAAUCCUGGCCCUGUCACCUGGCCCUGUUUGAUUUUAGGCAAAGUAUUUAACUCUGUGCUGCUGCUGCUGCUGCUGCUGCUGCUGCUGCUGCGAAUUUUGUAAUUAAUCUUCUAGGGCAUUUAUGGUGGACAGAAAUCUGUUCUUCUAAGUUAGUCAUCAGUCAUUUAGUGUACCUGAAAAUUUCCUUCUUUAACAGUUAGGGCCAACUUUAGUCAUUAUUUUUACUAUUAACUGUUGCUACCAGGACGUGCCUAGUUUGUGUUUUUUCCAAGUUAAAUAGUUGCGGUCAUAAUCAUCGGUGCCUGAGUUGAUAUUCAAAGCCCUGUGUGUGUGAUUCCAUCCGGGGACAAAUUACUUCCCUUAGGUAUAGUCGGUGUUUCUUCGUCUGUAGAAUAAGGAUAGUAAUACCGCGGUUACAGGCUCGUCGUGAAGAUGACACACGGUAUGCGUAAUAAGAAGAUGGUCCGCUUGGUACCUGUCAUAAAUCUGGGGGCAUCGUGGCUAGUCAGGCAGUGAGACUACUAAGGAACCAAACAGAUUAUCUGUGAUCAUUUCAAAGUCCUCAAGCCCGGGGGUGUAUGUAGGCAAGGUGAGGGGUCAAGGAGGUGGGUGGUCUUCUGUGGCCAGGAGAAAGCAGGUGAAGGGCAGGCAAGGUGAAGAUGAGGGGGAUUCGGAAGCCAAGGCAGACAAAGCAAGGGUCCUGAAGACUUGGUGUGGGGCUGGGCCUGCCCUUCAGGCCACAGCUCCUCGAGUUCUGCCUUUCUGUCUGUGCUCUGUCUUGGUAGCACCUGGCUUUAGGACUUGGUGUUCAGGUGUGGAGAGAAGGUUCUCAGUGUAGCCAAAAGAUAUGCCAUAAGUCGCUUCCCCUGUUUUCAAAUGAAUACCAGUGAAUCAAUUUGCCUGUAUUAAGAAAGACUUGCUUGUCUUACAUAUAAAGAGAGCUGGCCAACCAGAGUGCCAGCAGUGCGGGGUCCCCAGCACUCAUUAAAUACUUACUGAUGGAUUGAUUUGCUUUGGAUCACAUUGGAGUUCACGUCUACUGUUUCAGGAUAAGGGAAAAUGUCCUAUAUGGCUAUUUCUGAUUAUAAUGCUAUUGAGUCUUGGUAAUAUUGGUAGCAUUUAUUGAAAGCUGCCAUGUGUCAGGCAGUGUUCUAAGCCUCCAUGUCAGUUAUUUCAUUUAAUCCUCACAAUACCCUCUGAGUGAGGUACCAUUAUUCGUCCUGUUUUCUGAGUGGACAGUUGGUACCAGUCAGGUGACUCCAGAGCCAUCCAUCGUCUUAAUCAUCCCAAGGGUCCCUAGUCAGAAUAGUUAGUUCCAUCUUCGUGGUGCUUUGGACUAAUGAAUUCUCACCCCAGCACCACGAGGUUAAGGGAAUUCCUUUGUUUGCCAGAUAGUUAUUAUUUCUGUGCUACCAGAAUUGGGCUAGGCAUGGGUUGGAAUAAGGAAUUACUCCAGGAGGCCAAGUCAUUUUCCUGAGUAGGGCUUCUGUCAGAACUGUAAUUUAAAGUUCUAAGUUCAUGGCUUCCAGUCUUGUGCUUGUAAAACAGACACACAUAACUGCAUCUUUUUUUUUUAUGGUUACAUCACAGGAAUGUUUUGCAUUUAUUCAGACACAAGUAGGGUAGAGUGGUAGCUAAUCUGUCUCAGGAUUUGUUGCAAAUUUUAUCAUUUACACAGUUUGUGAUGUAACUGAUUGGGUCUGACUUGGGCCAGCUACUGAAACAAACAAAAUGCUUUCUGACCUUUAGUUUGAAGUUAGGAAUCAGAAUAUGUGUGAAAUCAGCACCCAGGAAUAUGAGUUGGAUAAUAUACUUAAAGUAUAGGCUCUGUUUGGUUGCCCUUGCAUCAAGGAUUUUAGUUCCGAGACUUACACUUGGAUUUCUUGCAAGAAGGCACUCCUUGCCUUCCCUUCCCUGUGGCAGGCUUUAUAUCAUUUUUGGUACCGAGCACCAAAAUCUUCUGGCAGUUUUUUAAUUGAGGUUUUGUAGUUUUAAUGGUCUGGUACUAUAAAAAGCCAGCUUUGUGCCAGAAUUUUUCCAAGACCAGACAUGGGCUUUGACACCACAAUAAAUUAAAGAUAAAUAAAUAAAGAAACAUGGCAGUAAAAAUGUGGGACGCUUUUUUUUGUUUAAUUUUUUUUUUUAAACUAGCAAGUGAGGCCUGCUUGUAAAUUUCAGGCAUGUUUUCUCAGUACUUCAGCUCAGUGUUACAGUGCUUAGCUACAUGAAUCUGUUACUGGGUAACUCCAGAAAGAAUGUUAGACCAAACCAUUAGGAGAUUGGCGAUUUUUUUUCCCCCUUUGAGCAUUAUUGAAAUUUGACAACAUUCUCAUAGUCUCUGCUUUCAUUUAAGGAUUUGGCUAUCAAAAAUAGGGGUAGGCGAAAGGGACCAAGAGAAAGUAAUGACCAAGUGAAUAGUAGUGUUUAAAGUCGCAAGUUGCUACGAUACGGGCUUCACCGUGACCUGGAUGGAUGAGGGCUAAACAGGAUUUGCUUUCCGCAGAAUCUGGUGCCUGUUCCGCCAAUUCUGUUUGCCUGCAGCCUGCCUUGCUGGCCUCCUCCUUUUCCCAGCACCGCUCAUUUCGGUUCUGAGAAACAGCUUCCUCCCAUUACAGGCACCAAUUCAAUUAGGCAGGAGAGAGUGCUGAAGGUUUUUGACGCCAUCAGCUUCUGGUGUGGAGACAGAAGCUCUGUUUGGGAGGACUUUGGGAGAGUGUGGCGAUGUGCAUCUUUGUGGAUUCUGAUCCCUUCUCGAUGUGUGAUUUUCAGAUCAGUUUCUCUCCCUUCUCUCCGUUGAUCUGUCUCCUCCCUCCCUCCUCUUUUCCCUCUCUCUCCCUCACUCUUGCUCUCUCUUCCGUAACACAAAAUGGGGGUGAUGGCACUGACCAAAUCCAAGACCUGCCUUGCUUCCCAAAUACGGCUCAGUCAUUAGGAAGCCGUUAGUCUUUCAGUCACUAAGUAGGGAUAACCCUCUUCUGAGUGUGUGAGUUUGGAAUUUAGUUUGCCCCUGCAAAGACCUGUUUCCUUUUUUCUAAACUGUGUCUUAAAAUUUACAAAAAAGGACUGAACAAGCUUUGAAGCCUCUUAAAAAUAACCCAACAGAAAACUUCCUUCUCUUUCUAUAGUCUACUAAACUUUGUCUAAUUUUAGGCCACCAUGUGGAACUAAGCCUUUAUUGAGGUUUGAAAUGUCAAAAUAAGGAGGGAUUUGUGUAUAUUUUCACUUUUGACUUCAUUUACUGGAAGUGCUGAAGCACCAAGGGUGGGAGGUGGUUUUGGAAGUAUUUCUGAUCUCAAGAGGAAGUUCCAUUAGUCAUCCAUGGUGAUGUCACAUUUGGUAUUCUAAGGAGGCGUAGGCAGUUUCCACUAUGCAUCCUGGCCUUUGACUGCAUACUGGGCCCUAACCUGGAUUUCAAAAUUUGAAUAUUUCUGUUGCUCACACUUCAGAAUGUUAAUACUCAGAUUCUUAUGAUCUUCUGUUAAAUACUUUUCAGAUUGGCCUCAUGUAUUGUUUAAAAUUGGCAGGUGCUGUCAGAAUCCUAUGAUAUGGGAAACCUGUGGCUGUUACCGUUGGGUAUGUCCCCCCCAGACCUACCAUGUAUUUGGUUUGGACCAAUUUAUAAAAUGUUCACGUGCUUGGGAAAAUUUUUUUUUAUCUCUGCUACUCAGAAUAGUUGAGCAGAAAAGUAUAAGGAAAGACGUUUUUCUGUGACUUCCAGUGUGUCUCUUGUGGUCACUGAGUGCUAUGAGAAGGGUCUUUUUCAUUUCCAACUUUUCCACUCUUAGAAGUCUCUUAGGUAGAAUUACGUCUGGGGACAACCAGCACUUACUCUGUCUAGCGUUCUUCUGUCUCCUCCGUGACCCCGUCCCGUCCCCAUCCAGAGGAAGACAGAGUAGCUUCUGAAUGAGAUGUAACAGAAAUAAGUGUGUUCUAAUAGAUGUCAAAAUUAAUAAUUCCUUCUCUCUCCACAAAAGGUGCAGUAGGAGCUUUUCAGUGUUAUUCUGCAAGUGUUUUCUCUGUUAACGGGGCAGAAAAGAGAUGAUAAAGGACCAUCAUCUGUAGUCAGCUGUAUUUUGCUUCUAUCAAAGAUGAUACCCAGAUAUCCUACAUUUCCUGGACAAAUUGCAAAUUCGAGAUAUCCCAGAAACAGGUUUAAUGCAUUUAUUAUUUUAUGAUCUGCACACUUUUCCCUGUAAAAAUUUCCCCAUGAAUGUCCUUGUUGCCAAAAGGCUAACGUCCCGCUCUCAUAGGACUGAUAAUUGUAGGACGGAUUCUUGAGAGUGUGUCUCCUUGUGCUUGCAUUUUCAUUUAGGGCUUUGUCUACGUGCAUCCAAAGUCGGCUUAACUUUUUAACCCAAUUAACUGAUUGGCCCGAUGAAUUUAAUUAAGAGGGGAAGUGCUUGUGCAGAGAGGACCAGCAUUAGUGUAAUGUGGUAGUUAAAAUUAACAAGACUGAUUUGAUUUGAUAAUUAAUUAGAUAAUCUGAUUAACAGAAUAAUUUAGUAUCAGAGACCUGGGUUCAAAUCCAUAUGAGCUAGGUGACCUUGUCGUAAGCAUUUUAAGUGUCAUUUCCCCCCACUUACCAAAAGGGCUUAGUAGCACGUACAUAACUCAUAAGGGUGCCGUGAAAAUUGGUGAAAUCAUUCAUGUGAAGUGCUUAGCACAACACUUGGCUCAAAGUCACUGGUGGACAAAAGUACCUUUUGUUAUGUUCUAGGAUUUUUAGAUACGGAUCCUCGGAAAGACACCGUGUCUCAGAUGGCUGUCAGAUUUCUUUCUGAGUGAACAGAGUCACUUUUUCUGGAGACAUCAGUAGCACAAGCAUCAUAUGGUCUCUGAAUGUUCUCCAUCUUUUUUGCAUUUGAGGCAUUCAUUCCUCUUUUUCUUAUUCACAUCAACUUUAGGUCAUAAUAAUAGGCCCUGUAUUUAAAAAAAUAACAUUUAAUAAUUUCGAUACAACUUAUUUAAUUUUCAUGGAGACCCUGUAAGGUGGAGAUUAGGUCAUAGAAAUGAAGAACUGUAGAGAUGGCAGGAAAGGUGGUGACCUUGACUCUGUUGGCUCAUUUGGUAGGUGCAGGAGCCCUGUGUUCAGGUUCUGGGUGAUAAGUGGCCAAGCAAAUCUGAGUUUGGUGCCCUUUCCACCCCACCAUGCUGAUCACUUCUCUUUUUAAUUAAAAAUGCCCUAUUCCUGGCCCCUUAUUGACAAGUUGCUCAGAGCUCUUAAUUUCUAGGGUUCUCAAAACUGUUUAAUGAGUAUCUUUGGAUUAAAUCCAGAUACUCUGAUGAUAUGCAGCUUCUUACAGCUUCAAAGAUAUCUAAGCAAGUACAGCAUAGAAUCCAUAUCAGUUUCCCAUCGAUUUCCUCUUUUUAAAGUCUUGGCUCUUUUUCUGUAGCCCUCUGAGAAAUCAAUUCUUUAGACCUCUUUCUUUCUGUCACCACCUCUUGUCACAUAUGCUCCUCUGACUGUAGCUGCCACAUGUAAAACCAUGGUAGCUAGGAAUCGAUACUGAAAUAGCUCCAAUUAAUUUCUCUUUGUUCUGCAGUACGGGCUUUACAGGUUCUAGGUAUGCAUUUAGAUUUUCCUUUCCCUUCUAUUACAUGGAAUGGUAAUUUUGUUCAACUGAGAUUCCAUUUUCAAGACUGCUCUGAUCACAGGGCCUUCUGCAAUCAUGAAUAUAUACCCUUGUUAGUUAAUAUUAUCUUAGCCACGUAAGAAAAUGACCAGUACGUGCAACUUGUAUGUGAAACGCACCUCAAAGGACUAUAAAUCUUUCACUUAAAUCUUGAUUUUCUUGAAUCCUUUGUAUUUCAAGUUCUAACCUGUCAUUUACUCCCAUGAACAAUUUUGUUCUCCUGACCUUUCUUCCAUACUCUCCUCUGUACCUCUGCCUUUUUCUUAUUUUUGGUUAUAUUAUGUCACUAAAUGUUAAAAAAUUAAAAAAAUAUAUUGCCUUAUCUAUAUUAUCUGUACUUAAACAUUUUACUUUAGUAUUAGAUUUAUGAAUUCUUUUAUUUCCUGACAGUUUUAGCCUAUUCAAAGGUGGUGCUUAUUUUCUGUGAAUGUUCUGUAAUUUGCCAUUCUAUGAAAGACUUAGUGAACAUUUACAUUUAAUUAGCAGCAGUUUUUUUUUUAGAACCAUAAGAUACAUCUCUUUUAAAUGCUAUUUCUUUACAGUAUUACUUCAGAGACUAGAAAUUCAUUUGCAGUUUUUAUUAACCUAGUUUUAGUUGUCAGAAAAAAUACACGUAUAAAUAAAGCAGAGUGACAUACUCUAACAGUUUUUAAUGAGCCUGGUUUUUCUUACGGAGUAACUUGAAUUUUUCUGUAACAGAGACUUGAUCUUUCUGGAUAGAUUUUGCUUUAUUUGUCCAGAAGUGGAUUCCAAUUUUGCUAAUAUUAAUUUGAAAGUGUAUUUAAAACUCUCUAGCUCACAUUUUUAUAAACUUUUAAUUUGACAAAGAAAAUUAAAUUUUCUUUGGGGGUGUGUUCUUUUGUGUGUAGGUGCUAUUGGUGGGUUUAAGAGAAAUUUAAUGGUAUCUUUUGAGAAAGUUGUAGCUGUACUGAAAGUCUAGCGUUAGGAAUCAAUACCUAACACUUGAUUUGGACAAGAAAUUUGUGUAAAUUUUAUAGAGGAUUUUAGCAGUGCUAAAAAAAUGUACGUUCCCCAAGGCAGUAUUCAGUACUGUGUGGUAAGCUCCUAGAUCUGUGGACCGUGGGACUGUUACUCAAGUUAAAGGACCCUUCACUUGAACUAGGUAAAAGCUAGUUUGAGAUAAAUUUGGAAAAUAUCUAGAAUUGAGAAUAUAUAUGCCUUUGGUUUUCUCUGUUGCUACUGAAGAUACAAUUUAUUGCGUUCUUAGUGUAGAGCAAGUUUUAUAGGCAAUAUGAUUGGCCAGUGGUAUUUUAUUUCAGAGCUGAUGCUAAUAUAUAGGAGAUUACGGUAUUUGUUGUUUGUUUUAUCAGCAUGCUUAAUUUUUUAGGGGUAGCUGUAUGCAGAAUGCGUAUUUGCUAUCCAAACGAGUUAACGGGCUUACAACUGGAGGGUGUAAAUUCUAGUAUCUGUAUUUCCCAGCUUGCAGCAGUGUUGUCUGAAGCCUGAAACGGCUGAUGUUAAUCUUCAGUUUGUUUUGUUGCUUUCCAAAAAUUAAGUUGAAGUGAAAUAAAAUGUGAUGUAAAUCAGUUUCUCGGCUUAAUAAUAACAAUACUAAUAGUAAAAUAUAAAGUGGAAUUUCCUGUAUGUCAGAACUGUUUACAAACUUUGAAGGAGUGUGUGUGUGUGUGCGUGUGUACACAUGUGUGUGUGUGUGUGUUCAGUUGAAUAGGGGAAGCAGUAAAUUGCUGGCUUUUAAUCAAAUUGAUGAAUUUUGAAUUUCUACUUCUGUGGUAGUUCUGCCUUAAAUUCAUUUGGCUGAUUUGAUAGCGGUAUUUGGAAUGCAAGGAAGAGAUAAGGAUUUGGACGUUGUAGUUAUAAUAUCCCAGAAGAAUUUCAUUGCUUAUUGGCUAGAAACUCAGAGUUCCCACAGAGUUGUAGAUGGUGCGAUUUGGCAUGUACUUUUACUUACCCUCAUUCUUCACAGUCAAAGAUUUAUAGCUCAGAAGGAGUCUGUAGGUAGAGAAGGAUUUAAAGAAUGGCUGUCUUAAUAUUGCGUGGUUUGGCUAAGAAACCUUAUUAUUCUGUGUAUUGUGCGUCCUAGACUUGCCUAGAAACAGCAGACUUCGACUAUUCCCACUUCAAGUGGAAUAAAUAGGCAGAGCCGGGCCAGGAAAAGCCAAUGAAGGAGCCACAAGGCAAUUCAUUAACCCAUUUGAAGACAUUUUCAGGCAACUUGUUAAGCUUCAAAGGUCAAAGUGACCAACAUUGAAUUCAUCACGGGAAAAAAUUCUGGUAGCAGAACAGAGUUAGCCAACUUGACCUUUAAUACUUAACAAGUUGUCUUAAAAUGUUUUUAUUCAAUCUGGACACUUUGCUAACGUGAUUCAUCUUCUAAUCUAUGUAAAUGUGACUUUUAAGUCCUAUUGGAUUUUACGUAAGGGCUUAAUGCGAUGGACUUUGGAGCAGGUAGCCCAGAGUUUGUGACGGCUGUGCCCUGCUGUGUGUCCUGUCCCAGUCACAGGGCAGGUGACCCCUGCAAGGAGGACAGAGUGAGAAAGUUCCAGGGUCUCUGACCGAGAAGUCACACAAAAUCAGUGGCUGUGCUGUUGUGAAUCUUCUCUGGCUGGAAGCUGAGCACGGGCUUUGGGCUUUUUCACCUUUUGUGUGUCUCUGCCUGCUGCACCCUCCCCUCUCUCAGGGUUGCAGCAGUGGCCCCUGCAGGCAGGUCCCCGAGCCAGGGCGCGGGGCGC